UGCGUAGGCGGUUCGUUAAGUCAGAUGUGAAAGCCCCGGGCUCAACCUGGGAAUUGCAUUUGAUACUGGCGGGCUAGAGUACGGUAGAGGGUGGUGGAAUUCCCGGUGUAGCAGUGAAAUGCGUAGAGAUCGGGAGGAACAUCUGUGGCGAAGGCGGCCACCUGGACCAGUACUGACGCUGAGGCACGAAAGCGUGGGGAGCAAACA
rnacentral:rRNA from 1 species